rnacentral:rRNA from 1 species
GACGAACGCUGGCGGCGUGCCUAAUACAUGCAAGUCGAACGAGAGCGACCGGUGCUUGCACUGGUCAAUCUAGUGGCGAACGGGUGAGUAACGCGUGGGUAACCUGCUCAUCAGAGGGGGAUAACAUCCGGAAACGGAUGCUAAAACCGCAUAGGUCUUCGAGCCGCAUGGCUUGAAGAGGAAAAGAGGCGCAAGCUUCUGCUGAUGGAUGGACCCGCGGUGCAUUAGCUAGUUGGUGAGGUAACGGCUCACCAAGGCCGUGAUGCAUAGCCGACCUGAGAGGGUGAUCGGCCACAUUGGGACUGAGACACGGCCCAAACUCCUACGGGAGGCAGCAGUAGGGAAUCUUCCGCAAUGGACGCAAGUCUGACGGAGCAACGCCGCGUGAGUGAAGAAGGUUUUCGGAUCGUAAAACUCUGUUGUUAGAGAAGAACAAGUGCUAGAGUAACUGUUAGCGCCUUGACGGUAUCUAACCAGAAAGCCACGGCUAACUACGUG